ACAUCUUCAUAUUCUCUUCACCUUGGCUGGGCGUUGUUCUACCUGUUUGCAAAUCACAAUUGACGUUUUCCAGUUUAUACGGGAUGACGAUGGUGAACUGAUGUUUAGAUUGGUGAGGAGGUUGUGAAUAUUGAUAGAAGAGAAUGCUAUACAGGGAUGAGGGAUAUGAGCUACGGCAAAAUCGCUCACUUGCCACCGAGGAAACCUUUAUGCGGACUUCUUUUCAUAGCUGAAAGAUUUGAAUACUGUUAUUUGUAUGAGAAGUUUGGAAAUUGUUGUUCUUUCUAGUUGAAAAACAUUGCAGAAUAGGUAAGGUUUGUGUGGAUUGCAAAUGUGUGAUGUACAUAUACUUGUGUCAGUUAUGUACACUGAUAGUUUAUCAUAAAAUUCACCGGUAAUGGGAAAUAGGUGAGGUUAAAGACUAGCUCUAUUAAUGUAGAGACUAAAGACCACGAUUUUAUAUAAACAUUUGAUGUUCCUUCUGGUACAAA